rnacentral:ncRNA from 1 species
UGAAAGGCAGUGAAGAAGAGGAGUACACAUAGAAGCCCUGACAGAGAGAACCGCGCAGGUUGAGAGACGGUUCCGGGAAACGGAUGUGGAAGGUAGCUUCGGAGCCGGAUUUCUGAAAAACCGCGUUCUGCUAUGACUUAGGAAUGCUGUGAAAGAGAGUGGUGGAUAAGAGAUCCCGGGAGUUCCCGUUAUAGAAUCAAGAGGAUUGGGGUAAAGUCUGGAUGUGUGCAAAGAAAACACCGGCGGGCGGAAAUCCUGAUUGAAUUAAGGUGGUACCGCGUAUAUGACGCCCUUUGC